CAGCAGCCGCGGGAAUACGUAGGGUCCGAGCGUUGUCCGGAAUUAUUGGGCGUAAAGGGCUCGUAGGCGGUUUGUUGCGUCGGGAGUGAAAUUCCAGGGCUUAACUCUGGGCUUGCUUUCGAUACGGGCAGACUUGAGGCAUUCAGGGGAGAACGGAAUUCCUGGUGUAGCGGUGAAAUGCGCAGAUAUCAGGAGGAACACCGGUGGCGAAGGCGGUUCUCUGGGAAUGUUCUGACGCUGAGGAGCGAAAGUGUGGGGAGCGAACAGGAUUAGAUACCCCCGUAGUCCCUGUCUCUAUACA
rnacentral:rRNA from 1 species